rnacentral:rRNA from 1 species
AGAGUUUGAUCCUGGCUCAGAUUGAACGCUAGCGGGAUGCUUUACACAUGCAAGUCGAACGGCAGCACGAGAGAGCUUGCUCUCUUGGUGGCGAGUGGCGGACGGGUGAGUAAUAUAUCGGAACGUGCCCAGUAGCGGGGGAUAACUACUCGAAAGAGUGGCUAAUACCGCAUACGCCCUACGGGGGAAAGGGGGGGAUCGCAAGACCUCUCACUAUUGGAGCGGCCGAUAUCGGAUUAGCUAGUUGGUGGGGUAAAGGCUCACCAAGGCAACGAUCCGUAGCUGGUUUGAGAGGACGACCAGCCACACUGGGACUGAGACACGGCCCAGACUCCUACGGGAGGCAGCAGUGGGGAAUUUUGGACAAUGGGGGAAACCCUGAUCCAGCCAUCCCGCGUGUAUGAUGAAGGCCUUCGGGUUGUAAAGUACUUUUGGCAGAGAAGAAAAGGCAUCCCCUAAUACGGGAUGCUGCUGACGGUAUCUGCAGAAUAAGCACCGGCUAACUACGUGCCAGCAGCCGCGGUAAUACGUAGGGUGCAAGCGUUAAUCGGAAUUACUGGGCGUAAAGCGUGUGUAGGCGGUUCGGAAAGAAAGAUGUGAAAUCCCAGGGCUCAACCUUGGAACUGCAUUUUUAACUGCCGAGCUAGAGUAUGUCAGAGGGGGGUAGAAUUCCACGUGUAGCAGUGAAAUGCGUAGAUAUGUGGAGGAAUACCGAUGGCGAAGGCAGCCCCCUGGGAUAAUACUGACGCUCAGACACGAAAGCGUGGGGAGCAAACAGGAUUAGAUACCCUGGUAGUCCACGCCCUAAACGAUGUCAACUAGCUGUUGGGGCCGUUAGGCCUUAGUAGCGCAGCUAACGCGUGAAGUUGACCGCCUGGGGAGUACGGUCGCAAGAUUAAAACUCAAAGGAAUUGACGGGGACCCGCACAAGCGGUGGAUGAUGUGGAUUAAUUCGGUGCAACGCGAAAAACCUUACCUACCCUUGACAUGUAUGGAAUGCCGAAGAGAUUUGGCAGUGCUCGCAAGAGAACCGGAACACAGGUGCUGCACUGGCUGUCGUCAGCUCGCGUCGUGAGAUGUUGGGUUAAGUCCCGCAACGAGCGCAACCCUUGUCAUUAGUUGCUACGCAAGAGCACUCUAAUGAGACUGCCGGUGACAAACCGGAGGAAGGUGGGGAUGACGUCAAGUCCUCAUGGCCCUUAUGGGUAGGGCUUCACACGUCAUACAAUGGUCGGGACAGAGGGUCGCCAACCCGCGAGGGGGAGCCAAUCUCAGAAACCCGAUCGUAGUCCGGAUCGCAGUCUGCAACUCGACUGCGUGAAGUCGGAAUCGCUAGUAAUCGCGGAUCAGAAUGUCGCGGUGAAUACGUUCCCGGGUCGAGCACUCACCGCCCGUCA